AUGGAUUUUGGAGGCUUACUUAUACUGAAAAACAUCCUGUGGAGACCAGCUCAGAAUUAUACAAAAAAAAAAUUAUGAAUGAAAGGAAAUGUGAUUACUUCUACUUUACACUCUCCACAUGACCCAAAUAACUCCAAAGAGAAGAGGAAUGGUAAUGAGUUGAUGGAGAAGUUCAAGACUAAAUUCAUAAUGUCAUCCUGAUCCUUGGUCCCAACUUUUAAGCUUCUGCUUAUCCAACUGUGAUAGUGAAUUUGGAUAUUAUGCACAUGAAAAUCCAAGUAGUGAGUAAGUCAGCAUGAGAACUUAUUAUCUUGCAUGAGAAAGGAGCCUCUACCUACCUCAUGGCUAUUUCUGUAUCACUUAUUAUAAAUAAAUCCUUUUCAAA